rnacentral:lncRNA from 1 species
UUGUGAUACCCUAAUAGCUUCAGAUCAGAUGAAAAUAGAGUUGUGAUUUGAAAUAUAAGAAUCAGAGAUCCUAAUAAUAAUAAUUGAAUUUAAGCAUAUUGGAUUAGAGGUUUGGACCCAAUGAGUUAAUAUAUUGUUAGUGGGUCGAAUAGUUAUAUUAAGUAUCAGAGUCGGUUCACCAGCCAGAAUUGUAAGGCGGUCCUUACAUCCUCUGGUGAUUAUAAAUUUAAAGUGUGAGAUAGGUCUCACAUCCUCUGGUGAUAGUGAACUUAAAGUGUGAGGCGGGUCUCACAUCUCUUCUCCUCUAAUAAUUUAAAAUGUAUAAAUACAGAUCUCACAUCCUCUAGUGAUGGUGAUCUUAAUUGCAUAUGAGAAUGAUCUUAAAACUAAGAAUGAUCUUAUAUCCUCCAAUGAUGUGAUUGAUCUUAAAUGUGUGCUCAAAGUGUAAGACAGGUCUCACAUCUUCUGGUGAGGUGGAUCUCACAUCCUCUUGGGCUGGUGGUUGGGCAAGAGGUCCUCUUAGAUAAGUAGUUUGGCGCUUGGACUAGUGAUUUGAAUCCAACCAAUUAUUAUUGUUAAGCAUGAAACGAGACUCAUAUUUUAUGAUAAUCUUGAUAAUAAUAAUUGAGCUGAAGUAUUUUGAACCGGUGGUUCGAGCUGAACGAGUUAUUACUUCUAAUGGGUUGUUACAGAUAUAGACUUGAAUUUUGUUUUUCCGUAGGUAAUAAAG